rnacentral:rRNA from 1 species
AAUUCGAUUAGUUUGAUCAUGGCUCAGCCUGAACGCUGGCGGCGUGGCUAAGACAUGCAAGUCGCACGGUGUAGCAAUACACAGUGGCGAACGGGUGAGUAAUGAAUCGCUAAUGUACCCUGGACUCUGGGAUAGCUAACCGAAAGGGUAGGUAAUACCAGAUGAGACCACAAGCAGGCAUCUGCUGGUGCUCAAAGGUCCGCCGGUCUGGGAGCAGGCGAUUUCGUAUCAGCUAGUUGGUGAGGUAACGGCUCACCAAGGCGACGACGCGUAGCCGGACUGAGAGGUUGGCCGGCCACAUCGGGACUGAGACACUGCCCGGACUCCUACGGGGGGCUGCAGUAACGAAUCUUCCGCAAUGCACGAAAGUGUGACGGAGCGACGCCGCGUGUGGGACGAAGCCCUUCGGGGUGUAAACCACUGUCAGGGGAAAGAAAGUUCUGAUCUACCCCAGAGGAAGGCACGGCUAACUCUGUGCCAGCAGCCGCGGUAAGACAGAGGUGCCAAGCGUUAGGCGGAAUCACUGGGCUUAAAGCGUGUGUAGGCGGAUUUGUAAGUACCUUGUGAAAUCCCACGGCUCACCCGUGGAACUGCUGGGUAUACUGCGAGUCUUGAGCCACUUAGGGGCUGUCGGAACAGGCGGUGGAGCGGUGAAAUGCGUAGAUAUCGCAUGGAACGCCAAAGGUGAAAACAGACAGCUGGGAGCGUGCUGACGCUGAGACACGAAAGCCAGGGGAGCGAACGGGAUUAGAUACCCCGGUAGUCCUGGCCGUAAACGAUGUC